AUUAACAAAUGUAUUUCCUCUUCUGGGAAUGGUGUUCUCUCACAGCAUCAUUCUGAAUGAUCACUUUCCAGAGAUGCAAGACGUUAGUCUUUCAAAUGAACUGUAUGGUGAUGGACAAAGCCAGUGGUUCUAAGGGCAGGAGACUGGUGCUACCCUUGGGCCUGGGAGAAGCAUUAGAAUCAAGAGCACAGCUACUGGAGCCAGACUGCUUGGAUCUGAAUUUACUUCUGCUACCAGCUAUGUAUAAUAAUUAAUAGCAAUCUCCUUACUCUCAAAAGUACGUGAUCAACCUACUGAUGGGUCAGAUAAAAUUAAAGUUGAAAUGUAUAAGUGGUAGCCGUAGCAAGACAAAUUUUGGCAGAUUGUUGAAGAUGGAUGCCUGGUUGGAAGGGUUUACAAAAAUGGAUGACAACAACUGGAGACAGUUAGAUGAUUAUUUUGAAGACUUUUGCUACAAGAAAGAGAAGAAAUGAGUUCAUAGGUCAUCCCCCCAUAAUGAACCAAGUUGAUAUUUGAGGAUUGGACUGUGCAGCACUCAGAGUUCUUGAACCUUGAGAUGAAUGCAGUACCUGCCUGGGAUUGGUGUCCUCUUUCUUGGGGAGCAGAGUUGGAAAUUGAAGAAUGCAAUGGAAAGCAAGAUGAACGAGGCAAGAGUGUGUAGCUGUCAAUCCUGGAUCCAGGGAGCCAUUUC